CAGAAAGUACAUGUGGGAACACAAGUAUAUAUAGAUUAUAUACAAUGGACAAUUGAGCUAGGGGGUACAAUAUCACAUUACACAAGGACCUUAAGGGACAUACAUACACUUAUAAUUCUACCAGCUUUUUUGUAAGUAGAGUAUUUAAUUGUCUUAAAAUACAGUUCAAUUUCUUUUUGUAGGGUAAGAAAAUGUGUUUUUUUGUUUGUAAAUUUACAUUUGUGAAGAUGAAAUUUGGCCAAAAGAGUAAUGAAAUGAAUUACAUAAAAAUGUUUCAGCUUAUUCCUAUCUAGGUAAAGAAUCCAAGCAGUACAUCUCUCCACAAUAGUGUUAAACCUUCAUAAAAGUGUUGAAUUAUAAAUCUACUGAUGUCUUGCCACAGUUUCAUUACAUGAAUACAAUGCCAAAAAAGAUGCAACACUGUUUCUGGGUGGUCAUUACAAAAGGAGCAAUUUGAGUUUAUGUUUUCCUUAAACUUCUUCAUAAAGUGGUUGGCAGGAUAAUAUUUCUGAAUAACAAAAUUAAGGAAGUUACCUUUAAAAUUAACAAGUAGGUUAUGUGUGUGGCAACAUCCAAACCUUUUCCCAACAGAUAUUAUCAAUAAAUCCAUUCCAAUAAGGUAACUACAACAUCCUGCUGAAACAAGGUUCGUAUCGCUCUGUUGUUGAAUGGGCCAAAAGAGAAACAAAUCUUUCCUACUGAUGAGUCAACAGGGUCAAUAGAAGGUAGGUUCUGAGGGUCAGGUCUUGACACGUUCCUGAAUAAAAGAGCAAUACCUGAGGGAAUGGCAUCUAAAACAAUUGCAAAAUCUUUAGGUGUUACGGGGACCUUGUAAAGUGAUAAGAAUUCCUUAUAACUGAGUAAAAGACCAUCUGCACUUUCCAGUUGGCUCACCAAUAGGAUAUUAUUUAUCAGUUGGCUCACCAAUAGGAUAUUAUUUACCAGUUGGCUCACCAAUAGGAUAUUAUUUACCAGUUGGCUCACCAAUAGGAUAUUAUUUACCAGUUGGCUCACCAAUAGGAUAUUAUUUAUCAGUUGGCUCACCAAUAGGAUAUUAUUUACCAGUUGGCUCACCAAUAGGAUAUUAUUUACCAGUUGGCUCACCAAUAGGAUAUUAUUUCAGAACCAAUAUUCUAAAAACAAAUAAGUAUUUUUAUACAAUAUAUCCCAAUUAUUCCAUAUAUAAUAUCUGUGUGGAGAAAAAUUGUGUUUAUAAAUUAAGGACCAUGACAAGAAAACCUGCCGAUGAAAAGCAGAAAGUUUCACUGUAACUUUGUCAAUAUUAUAAUUGCAAAACAAUAUGAAGUUAAGGCCACUAAAAGUAGAGAAGACAUGAUGAGGAAUAAAAUUCCAGAUAGAAGUGGGUCUUCUUAGGAAUUGUUUUAUCCAGUUGAUCUUAAAAGUAUUAUUUAAGGUAGUAAAGUCCAGAAAAUUCAGCCCAGCAUUCUCAUAAGUGUUCAUUACAACAGUUUUCCUAAUGUAAUGGGUACGGUUUCACCACAGAAAGUUGCUGCGACUUGUUUGCUAGUUGAGAUUUCUGAUCACGUUAGGCUAUUGACCAGUAGUAAUGCACAGAAAGUAUUUGACUCUAGCCACAAAAUCAAGGAAAUUAGAAGGCUAUUUUCUGCAAGCAUUCUCAGAUUCCCCUCUGUUAUUCAUCUCUAUAUUGUAAUCAAUAAAGUGUUUCAAAAUGCUGUACUUUUAUUAACAUAUGUUCAGAUCAUUCCUGUGAGAGAAGGGGUGUAAUAUCUCCAGAUGGGCAUGUGGUACCCUUCCUUACCCAUGCCAACAAGAUGUUACUCUUGUGGGGUAUUUGCCUUGACAUUUGCUGAAUGUGUUCUGAAAGAGGAGUCGAUUGUCUUUUCAAAUACGGACAAAGAUGUUAACAUCAUGAGAGAAGAAAUAGCAGUCACUCUCCUCCAAAACACUGAUGACCUGUGCUAACUGUGCCACUUCUGUGGGGAGGUGGACAAUAAUGAGGAAGACACUAACAGGAUUGGUUGUGACUGCUGCCCACGAUGGUUCCACCAGUCCUGUAUGAAAACCAUCCCAUCAUUGGAGGAUUAUGUCUGUGCUGCCUGUCAGGACUAGGUUAGGGUUGAGUUCCAGGCGACGAUAUCACCUGGAAAACUUUCCAUAAAAAGUGGACUAAAUGUUCAGUCGAGCUGUUGCAGCUUUCCAAUUUGUUUAUGUUAUUUAUUGUCUUUUUAUAUUUCAUUUAUUGUCAUUUUAUAUGUUAUUAUGGAAAUAUGAAAAUUUGUAUUUCCUAUUUAAUGGUUGUUAACAAACGUAACUUUCUGUAAUGUUUUUGUGUUAUCGUGUGAUAAUAUUUGUGUAUUAUCUUUAUUUUCUUAAACAUUACAAAAUGUUUCUAAAAUAAAUGUUUUUUCUUUAUACUCUUUCUGUGGCACACACUACUGCUCAACAGGAGCUACCAAAAUGAUUAUGAAGUGUGCCAGGCCUUGCAGUCCCAAAAUAGAAGGGGGAGAGAAUUUCGGCAGGCAAGAAAAUAGCCUUGCUGAAGAAUUUGGCAUAACAUCCAACUAGCCUCACAACCGCAGACCACGUGUAACCACGUCAGCCCAGGACCUCCACAUCCGGCUUAUUCACCUUCGGGAUCGUCUGAGACCAGCCACCCGGAGCGCUGAUGAAACUGUGGGUUUGCACAACUGAAGAAUUUCAGCACAAACUGUCAGAAACUGUCUCAGGGAAACUCAUCUGUGUGCUUGUUGUCCUCACCAGGGUCGGUGUCAUAACCAACUUUAGUGGGUUGAUGCUCACCUUCGAUGGCCAGUGGCAUGUUGGAGAAGUGUGCUCUUCACAGAUUUAUCCGGGCAGUAUGGCAUCGUGUGGGCAAGUGGUUUGCUGAUGUCAACGUUGUGAACAGAGUGCCCAAUGGUGACAGUGGGGUUAUGGUAUGGCCGGCAUAAACUAAGGACAGGGAACACAAUUGCCUUUUAUCGAUGGCAAUUUCAAUGCACAGAGAUACCGUGAUGAGAUCCUGAGGCCCAUUGUCGUGCCAUUCACCUCAUGUUUCAGCAUAAUAUGGCACAACCCCAUGUCUCAAGGAGCUGUACACAAUUCCUGGAAGCUGAAAAUGUCUCAGUUCUUCCAUGGCCUGCAUACUCACAGACAUGUCACCCAUUGAGCAUGUUUGGGAUGCUCUGGAUCGAUGUUUACAACAGCGUGUUCCGGUUCCCGCCAAUAUCCAGCAACUUCACACAGCCAUUGAAAAGGAGCGGAACAUUCCACAGGCCACAAUCAACAGCCUGAUCAACUCUAUAAAAAGGAGCUGUGUAACGCUGUGUGAGGCAAAUGGUGGUCACACCAGACACUGACUGGUUUUCUGAUACAUACCCGUACCUUUUUUUAAAGGUACCUGUGACCAACAGACACAUGUCUGUAUUCCCAGUCAUGUGAAAUCCAUAGAUUAGGGCCCAAUGAAUUUAUCUCAAUUGACUGAUUUCCUUAUAUGAACUGUAACUCAGUAAAAUCUUUGAAACUGUUGCAUGUUGCAUUUAUAUUUUUGUUCAGUGUAUAUUGCACAGUGAGGAGAAAUUCAACAGUGGACAUAGUUCUUC
rnacentral:lncRNA from 1 species